UCAGACAAUCCUCAUGUCACCAUCAUCAUAGUGUUAACAGUUAUUGGGAUCUCUGCUGUUGUAAUCGCUCUGGUGUUUUUCUGCAGAAGAAGAAGAAGAAACGCUCAGAGAAAAGCUGCUGAAGUUUCAUCAGUGGCCUCAAACACAGAGAUAAUCCUGUAAGUGUGUCUGUUUGCUGCCUUGCUCACAGGUUUGUGUUCAGUUUUUGCUCAGACAGCAGAAUCAGAAAUGCAGAUCUAGCAGAUGACCUUUAGGUGAUAGAGGUCAGCUGCAGUUCUGUGGGCCUGCUUUCAACAAACCCUCCCAUCAGCUUCAUGACUGCAGUUCAGCUUCAUUUUUCCUCAACAGUCUUUGAGUUUCAGCUGCUCUGACUUUGAGGCUCCAGAGUCUCCAGAAGAUGAAAAAGGACUGAAAUGGAGCUGAGCUGCAAAAGUGCAGAAAAGACAGAAAGAAAGAUGGAUGGAUGUGUUGAAAGUGUCAAAGCAGAGCAGAAUCCCAGCUUGUGUUUGAUCCAGGAGAAAAUGUUGGACCAUCAGGAAUAUUUGGACUCAAGUCUUCCAUUGAAAAACUAAACAUUGAUUUUCUGAAAAUCUUUUCAUCCAAACUGGAAACACAAACCACUGAACAACUUCUGGUUCAGGUUUCAUCCAGCUUACAAGUUUCUUUCUAGUUUGGAAUCAAUGUGAAAAAGAGACAGUGAGCAGAAAAUGUGCCGAAGUUUCUGAAGAGAAUAGAGAAUGAUUCUAAAAGAUCAGAAUAGAAGAGAAUCUCACUUUUUAUCACACAUGGUUGUUGUUUGGAUCAAAGCUGGUUUUUAAUCAAACAAACUGAUUCUCUUUUGGAAAAAAGAGGAAAUAUUGAUUCAAAUAGCACAGAUGUAGCAUUCUGGCCUCACAGUGAGAAGGUCCUGGUUCAAAUCCCUGCUGUUUGUUUCUGGGUGGAUUUUGCAUGUUCUCCUCAUGCAUGUGUGGGUUUUCUGCAGACACUCUGGUUUUCAACCCACUGUCCAGAAGUGCGCGACCUUGGGAGCGUUUCGGGCAGAUAACUUAGGCAGGCGUUUAUUCGGUUACUCCCCUAGGGUGGUUCAGUUAAUCAACUCACCUGUUCAGCGUCCUCUUUAAGUCCAGGUGUGUAAGCUGUUCAUCCUUCUUUACUGCAGUACUGCAUUUGUUGCCGGUUGUCCAUGCUCGCUGUUCUCCUUCUCAUUUUCAGCGUCAUGGUGUCCUCCCCCCGUUCUUUCGGAUUGUUGAUCCCCCUUCUUAUGGUGUGUGGACGUCCGUCUCCCCGCGUCUGCCCCUCCUUUUUCUGCUAACUGCUGUCCCGGCGCAUCUCUCGGCGCGGCGGUCCUCGUGUCUCCGGUGCGUAUCUGCAGAGUAAGCUUCCUGCAGUAUUCGGAUUGUCAGUGGCGAUCGAGCGGGAGAUGUGUUGGCCUUCUUGAGUGCCGUGAUCGCCGGAAUCUCUUGGUGUCAGUUGCCAUCUUACAUGCUUCUGUGUUGUUUUACCGGGUUCUGUUUCCUGCUCGACUCAGUCAUCAGCGACGUCACGCCCCUAAGGACCCUGGGACUUGCAGUUCUUUUGUUAUAAGUACAUGGUGCGUUUCCUUCAAAACCAGGUCCGGUUUCUGCUGUGUGGGGCAUCAUUCGGUGCUGGCUUUGUUGUGGUGGCUCUUUGUUUUUUGUUUCUUUUCUGUUAAAGCUGUGUACAUUUAAUAGUUUGACAUGCAUUUUGGAUUGGUCAGUCUAUGGACCUGUCUCAUCUGUGGACAUUUUCCUUAUCAUUGGUCUCUGUAUGCAGCGUCUGUGGGUCCUUUCUCAUUCUAUUUCGCUUGGUCCGGAAACAGCGAUCCUCGUGUCAUCAUGACUGCGUCCGUCUCCCCGCGAGACAGACGGAGAGACUGCAUGCUCAGUUGUCUGGUUCUGCUCCACCGUUUCUCCCUUGGAGCUGGCUGGUUUGUGGACAGCCACCCAGCUCUGUGUUCCCCAGGGAGUCCAGCCCUAGCCUUCGGGGAACUCACACCAGCCCCAUUGUGAAUGUGUCAGUUUGUACGUGGCCCUGUCUUCUCAACCUCACAGAUGUUUUGUUAUUUUCUCUCUGGUUGAUUUAGGGAUUUAUGGCAGGUUUGUGUGUGGGGCUAUGUGAUCGUUUUUUGAGUCAGCUCUAAGUUGGUCACUCGGACGUUUUCAUGUUUGACACGAUUAUGUGAGAACUGUCGGCGCCUCGGUUCGUCCAUUGGGCAUAAGCAGCCUAAUUCUUCGUGAUCUUUCCGGUUUUGUUUUUGCACUUUGGCCGACCAUGCCAUCUCUAUGAUUAAUUCCACCGGCCGCAGUGCAUGGCUGGGGGAGGCGGAUUUUGUUGAUUUUCCCACUGUUCUGCCUCUCCAUUCCUCCCAGUGGCGUCUUCUGGCUUAGGUUGGGCUCGAAGUGUUAUGUAUCAGUUUACCUUUCAGCUGUCGUAUUGAUCAUGUUUUCGACCUCAUUCCACUGAAGCCCUGUGUUGGACCUGGUUUAAUCCUAUGGUCUCCCCUUUGUUUUGCAUCUUCUUGAUGUUUUCUCUGUGUUCUAUUUUCCUCCUUGUCACCGCUCUUUUGCAACUCCAUAGUUGUGACUUGUUUUCGAAUCUCGGUUUUCACUUAUUUAAGUGAGAUGUAUGGCCCUCCGCCCAUCUGGAUUUUGUCCGGAAGGAAGACAGGAGGUGAGUAAAGGUAAAUAAUUGGGUUAAUUGUUCCGGUGGUUGAGUUGUCUUGUUGUGGCAGGGGGGUCGGCAAGAACGAAGGACCGUCGGUGAUCCGAGGCGAGUCUUUGGGCUCGGUGAUGGCUCCAGAAGAGUCGGACGGCUCGGCGGCAACUCCAGACGAGACGCUGGAUCUUGACGAGGCUGGGGGUUUGACUCUGGCCCGUGGCGUCGCUGGAGGUUCGGCUGUGGCUUGAGCUGAGGCUUGAGCUGAGGCAGCCGAGCUGCCGUCCAUUGCUACGUGGGAUGGCAACCUUCCUCAUCUACGUAAUCUCCUUGGACCUUGGUUACCCUUCUAUUCGCUUGCUCCUCGAUGGCCUGCUUAAGGUGCGUCCCUCCGGAACUGACGAAAGGUUACUUCUCUCUUACCAUUGGUGUUUGUAAAAAAAAUUGUUUUGGUAAUAUUACGGCAGGUUCCAUAUUAAAUGUCAUUUCUUGUUGGAAUCUGUGCUCUGAUGGUUUUCUAUGGUGAGAUGAAUACACAAAUAGAACCUUCUCUUUAAACUCACUACUUGAUUUCACCUUCACAGAGUUGUUCUUAAAAGCACUUUUAUUCCCUUUAUCAUAAGCAAUCAGUUCUAAAUUAUUUAUAUAUUCAUUGCCAAGACUAAUACUGCUUUGUCUUUAUCUAUGCAUCACUUUCUGAGCCUGCGACCCCUACUCCCCGGUCAGCAAUUCAGUUUCUGGCGGAUGAUGUAAAACCCUCGACAAAGUCGGAUGGCUUCCAAGUUCCACAGUCUCUGCUCGUCCGGCAGCUUCCCUGCAGAUCCUUGUCCCUGCACUCCUUGAUCUGGAGCUGCAACGACGACUGCACACCACGUAGCUACUUUGCACUGAAAGUGAAGGGGUGGUAAACCUCAUCCGAGUUUCAAUGAGUUUCUUACUUGAAUGAACCAAUAUGUUAGCAUCGGAAUGGCAUACAAAAUCUUGGAUUAUAAAUGUUUGGAAACUAUAUUGCCAGGUGGAAGCCUUCAAAUUAGGAUGUUCUCAAGCUGUGUUACGAUAUGCAAAGGCGAUCGAAAUUGGAGGUUACUUAAGCUCGUAUCAUAGUGUGCCGGAUGGAAGCAUCAUAAUCAUAUCGUUUAGCUCGCUCAUAGUUCACAGAUGGAAGCUUCUAAAUUAUGGAUUUCACUUAAGCUUUAUCAUAUUAUGCCAGUGAAAGCUUCAAAUUUGAAUGUUAAAUUGUGCCGCCAAACACCAACCUGUAGGUUGGUGUUUGGCGCUGUACUCUAAAGGGAGUGGCCCAACGAUCCAUUGUGCCGGGUCACAUAUAGCAGAUCCACUAGAUAGUUAGUUCCCUUCUUGGCGUUGUUAUCGAACGGGAGCGGCCCAAUUGUCAAUGGUGCCGGGUCACACAUAGACAGUGUGUUCCCUUUGUGGCACUGUACUCGAACGGGAGCGGCCCUACGGUCAAAGGUGCCGGGUCACACAUAGCAGUCAUACUUGUAAGUCUGAAUAUGGGAUGCCUCUGUAACACACUUCAUUAUUAUUAUUACUGCAUGAGUUGUCUGACUGAAGUGACCAACCUUAGGAGCAAUUUUGGGCAGAUAACUCAGGCAGGCGUUUACUUCGGUUACUCCCCUAGGGUGGUUCAGUUAAUCAACAGGUGUGUAAGCUGUUCAUCCUUCUUUACUGAAGCACUGUGUUUGUCGCCCCAUCCUCCUCCCCGGCUUCCACCUGUGAGCUCUGUUAGGGGUAGUUAUUACCCAAAAGUUUAUGGAAAUUUGUCUCAUGCCAAACUAAAAGAAUCUGUAAU